AAUAUAUGAGUGAUCACACAACAAGCUCGUGCUACAUGAAAAGCAAAAAGAAAUCUAUAAUGGGCAAGCAUACAAAGACCUAAAAUCGAAAAUCACUAAAGGGCAUGAGUUCGAUUUCCUGAGGGAAAAUCGCACCCUCCCCUAUGAAAAGCAAAACCCUAAAAUCUCUCAGGUGCACAAGAUAGAGAAAAGGCAGAAGUAUGUUCAAAUUCACUAUCAAAACCGAUAGGAAAAAAGGAAAAUAUAGAAGAAGGGUGAAGCUUUCUUUACCUGAGAGAAUAUCUUAACGUCAAACAUAGCAGAGCACAAGCAUAAAGCACUGGGAAUCUAAAGUGCAAGGGGAGCUAAGCGAUAGAGGUAGAAGGAUGAAGCAAAGAAAUAUUGAAAAAGAAAAUUGAGUUAAAGAAGAAAAAGAAAGAGAAUGGACAAAUUAAUUACUUGUCCUAAAAGGGAUGAGUUAUCAAGGCAGUUGGUGAAGGAAUGCCUAGAAUCUCUUGGAUGAUUAGACGUGUACAAGAAACUAGGGCGCACAACUGUAGGAAGUUAUUGCUGCCACGCGUGAAGGCGAAAAGUCCCAUCAUAAAAGCUAUGUUUAAAAUAUUCAUUUGGGCCUGAUUUGAUUGCUUAGCUCAUUUAAGAUUUCUCAUAGGCCAAACAAUCAAAGGGGCUAAUGUUAAGGCCCAAAAAAUAUCAUGAGCAAGCCUAACCGAGUCUCAAAACCCAAUAGUCACGCGAAUCCCAAGCGAAGCCUAAAUACAUGCAAAGAUGCAGGAUCAAGGAAGGAAUAUAUUCACAACUGUUGUAACCAAAUCUGCGCACCUCCGUGAGGGGCAAUUGGGCAUAAAUCUAGUAAAUCUGAGCAACCUUCAAAACAAAAAAACUAUGUUAGCAAGCCAUAGGGGGUGUGUCGGCCAAA
rnacentral:lncRNA from 1 species